AGAGUUUGAUCCUGGCUCAGGAUGAACGCUGGCGGCGUGCUUAACACAUGCAAGUCGAACGGAGCACCCUUGAAGGAGUUUUCGGACAACAGAUAGGAAUGCUUAGUGGCGGACGGGUGAGUAACGCGUGAGGAACCUGCCUUGGAGAGGGGAAUAACACAGUGAAAAUUGUGCUAAUACCGCAUGAUGCAGUUGGGUCGCAUGGCUCUGACUGCCAAAGAUUUAUCGCUCUGAGAUGGCCUCGCGUCUGAUUAGCUAGUUGGUGGGGCAACGGCCCACCAAGGCGACGAUCAGUAGCCGGACUGAGAGGUUGACCGGCCACAUUGGGACUGAGACACGGCCCAGACUCCUACGGGAGGCAGCAGUGGGGAAUAUUGGGCAAUGGGGCAAGCCUGACCCAGCAACGCCGCGUGAAGGAAGAAGGCUUUCGGGUUGUAAACUUCUUUUAUGAGGGACGAAAGAAAUGACGGUACCUCAUGAAUAAGCCCGGCUAACUACGUGCCAGCAGCCGCGGU
rnacentral:rRNA from 1 species